GAUGAACGCUGGCGGCGUGCCUAAUACAUGCAAGUCGAGCGAACAGACGAGGAGCUUGCUCCUCUGACGUUAGCGGCGGACGGGUGAGUAGCACGUGGAUAACCUACCUAUAAGACUGGGAUAACUUCGGGACACCGGAGCUUAUCCCGGAUAAUAUAUUGAACCGCAUGGUUCAAUAGAGAAAGACGGCUUUGCUGUCACUUCUAGAUGGAUCCGCGCCGCAUUAGCUGGUUGGUAAGGUAACGGCUUACCAAGGCAACGAUGCGUAGCCGACCUGAGAGGGUGAUCGGCCACACUGGAACUGAGACACGGUCCAGACUCCUACGGGAGGCAGCAGUAGGGAAUCUUCCGCAAUGGUCGAAAGCCUGACGGAGCAACGCCGCGUGAGUGAUGAAGGUCUUCGGAUCGUAAAACUCUGUUAUUAGGGAAGAACAAAUGUGUAAGUAACUAUGCACGUCUUGACGGUACCUAAUCAGAAAGCCACGGCUAACUACGUG
rnacentral:rRNA from 1 species